rnacentral:rRNA from 1 species
GACGAACGCUGGCGGCGUGCUUAACACAUGCAAGUCGAACGGAAAGGCCCUGCUUUUGUGGGGUGCUCGAGUGGCGAACGGGUGAGUAACACGUGAGUAACCUGCCCUUGACUUUGGGAUAACUUCAGGAAACUGGGGCUAAUACCGGAUAGGAGCUCCUGCUGCAUGGUGGGGGUUGGAAAGUUUCGGCGGUUGGGGAUGGACUCGCGGCUUAUCAGCUUGUUGGUGGGGUAGUGGCUUACCAAGGCUUUGACGGGUAGCCGGCCUGAGAGGGUGACCGGCCACAUUGGGACUGAGAUACGGCCCAGACUCCUACGGGAGGCAGCAGUGGGGAAUAUUGCACAAUGGGCGGAAGCCUGAUGCAGCAACGCCGCGUGCGGGAUGACGGCCUUCGGGUUGUAAACCGCUUUCGCAUGUGACGUAGCGUGAGUGACGGUAAUGGGUAAAGAAGCACCGGCUAACUACGUG